UGGGGAAUCUUGCACAAUGGGGGCAACCCUGAUGCAGCGACGCCGCGUGAGCGAUGAAGCCCUUCGGGGCGUAAAGCUCUUUCGACCGGAACGAUAAUGACGGUACCGGGAGAAGAAGCUGCGGCUAACUACGUGCCAGCAGCCGCGGUAAUACGUAGGCAGCAAGCGUUGUUCGGAGUUACUGGGCGUAAAGAGUGCGUAGGCGGUUUUCUAAGUUCGGUGUGAAAUCUCCCGGCUUAACUGGGAGGGUGCGCCGAAGACUGGGAAGCUGGAGUGUGGGAAAGGCAGGCGGAAUUCCUGGUGUGGCGGUCAAAUGCGUAGAUAUCGGGAGGAACACCGGCGGUGUAGACGGCUUGCUAGACCAUAACUGACGCUGAGGCACGAAAGCGUGGGUAGCAAACA
rnacentral:rRNA from 1 species